GAAUUUCUCUUGCAGUGAGUCAAACUUAACUCCACUUUUUCAAAGGACCUACAGAAUCACAUGCCAUGGCUUGAAUUUACAAGGGAGAUGAUAGUGAUGCCUCAAUGGAUACGGAUGAUGUCCCAUUACUCUCAGUCCACUUACCAUGCUCUGAUAUAAUUUUCUUUUGCCUCUAUUCCAUGGCAAUAAAAAGGGGUAAAGGCUGAGCAGCCAAGAACAAGGACCACAACUAAAAGUUCCUUUUUCUAUUGAGACCUUUCAGUGAACUUUUUCUUUACCAGUUCUUUCGGUUUUAAAAUUUCCCACAUGGGGCAUCAAUAUACAACUGUCUCUCUAUGUU
rnacentral:misc_RNA from 1 species